rnacentral:rRNA from 1 species
GGGGAUCUGCCCGAUAGAGGGGGAUAACCACUGGAAACGGUGGCUAAUACCGCAUAACGUCGCAAGACCAAAGAGGGGGACCUUCGGGCCUCUCACUAUCGGAUGAACCCAGAUGGGAUUAGCUAGUAGGCGGGGUAACGGCCCACCUAGGCGACGAUCCCUAGCUGGUCUGAGAGGAUGACCAGCCACACUGGAACUGAGACACGGUCCAGACUCCUACGGGAGGCAGCAGUGGGGAAUAUUGCACAAUGGGCGCAAGCCUGAUGCAGCCAUGCCGCGUGUAUGAAGAAGGCCUUCGGGUUGUAAAGUACUUUCAGCGGGGAGGAAGGCAGUGAGGUUAAUAACCUUACUGAUUGACGUUACCCGCAGAAGAAGCACCGGCUAACUCCGUGCCAGCAGCCGCGGUAAUACGGAGGGUGCAAGCGUUAAUCGGAAUUACUGGGCGUAAAGCGCACGCAGGCGGUCUGUUAAGUCAGAUGUGAAAUCCCCGGGCUUAACCUGGGAACUGCAUUUGAAACUGGCAGGCUUGAGUCUCGUAGAGGGGGGUAGAAUUCCAGGU